rnacentral:rRNA from 1 species
AACGCGAAGAACCUUACCUACCCUUGACAUGGCAGGAAUCCUYGAGAGAUUGGGGAGUGCCCGAAAGGGAACCUGCACACAGGUGCUGCAUGGCUGUCGUCAGCUCGUGUCGUGAGAUGUUGGGUUAAGUCCCGCAACGAGCGCAACCCUUGUCAUUAGUUGCUACGAAAGGGCACUCUAAUGAGACUGCCGGUGACAAACCGGAGGAAGGUGGGGAUGACGUCAAGUCCUCAUGGCCCUUAUGGGUAGGGCUUCACACGUCAUACAAUGGUACAUACAGAGGGCCGCCAACCCGCGAGGGGGAGCUAAUCCCAGAAAGUGUAUCGUAGUCCGGAUUGUAGUCUGCAACUCGACUGCA